rnacentral:rRNA from 1 species
GACGAACGCUGGCGGCGUGCUUAACACAUGCCAGUCGAACGGAAAGGCCCCCAUCUUGGUGGGGGUGCUCGAGUGGCGAACGGGUGAGUAACACGUGGGUGAUCUGCCCUGUACUUCGGGAUAAGCUUGGGAAACUGGGUCUAAUACCGGAUAGGACCGUGGUUUAGUGUCUCAUGGUGGAAAGAUUAUUGUUUUGGUGCAGGAUGAGCUCGCGGCCUAUCAGCUUGUUGGUGGGGUAAUGGCCUACCAAGGCGUCGACGGGUAGCCGGCCUGAGAGGGUGGACGGCCACAUUGGGACUGAGAUACGGCCCAGACUCCUACGGGAGGCAGCAGUGGGGAAUAUUGCACAAUGGGCGCAAGCCUGAUGCAGCGACGCCGCGUGGGGGAUGACGGCCUUCGGGUUGUAAACUCCUUUCGUUAGGGACGAAGCCGCACUUUUUUUGGGUGUGGUGACGGUACCUUUGUUAAGAAGCACCGGCUAACUACGUG